UGAGCGUAGCAGUAGGAUACGGUUGGAACGACCGCUAAUACCGCAUAUGCCGAGAGGUGAAAGGAUUAAUUGCCUGAGGAUGAGCUCGCGUCGGAUUAGCUAGUUGGUGGGGUAAGAGCCUACCAAGGCGACGAUCCGUAGCUGGUCUGAGAGGAUGACCAGCCACACUGGGACUGAGACACGGCCCAGACUCCUACGGGAGGCAGCAGUGGGGAAUUUUCCGCAAUGGGCGCAAGCCUGACGGAGCAAGACCGCGUGAGGGAAGAAGGUCUGUGGAUUGUAAACCUCUUUUGAUAGGGAAGAAGUACUGACGGUACCUAUCGAAUCAGCCUCGGCUAACUCCGUGCCAGCAGCCGCGGUAAUACGGAGGAGGCAAGCGUUAUCCGGAAUUAUUGGGCGUAAAGCGUCCGUAGGUGGUUGGUCAAGUCUUCGGUUAAAGCGCGGAGCUUAACUCCGUAAGGGCCGAGGAAACUGGUCAGCUAGAGUGCGAUAGGGGCAAGGGGAAUUCCCAGUGUAGCGGUGAAAUGCGUAGAUAUUGGGAAGAACACCGGUGGCGAAAGCGCCUUGCUGGGUCUGCACUGACACUGAGGGACGAAAGCUAGGGGAGCGAAAGGGAUUAGAUACCCCUGUAAUCCCUAGCAAAA
rnacentral:rRNA from 1 species